CCCCAUCUCUCCCCUGCUCUCUUGCCCUUCAAGCCUUCCGCCAUGUGAAGAUGUAGCAAGACGCCCUCGCUAGAUGUGGGCCCCUUAACUUUAGACUUCUCAGUUUCCAGAACGUGCCGCUUUCUAGAACCAACUCUGAGGACUUUAACCGAGGCUGAGUGACACACAAGAGGAGCAGCAGCCCUAAAGGAAGCCCGCCUACCCUGGAGGAUGCCUUCCACUUCAGAUAGGCCAGAAAGCCAGUCCCUUCCUAAGCACACCACAGGAGAACCCUGUAGUCCUCCACAGAGAAGGUGUCUGUCAAGCAAGAAGGUGACUGUGAACCCAGAACGUUCUGUUUGAUUCUGGCCUCUCCCCAUGCUUCUCAAUGUGGAUUCUAACUUGCAGUGACAUCAGGAACAAAGCCAUUACAUUCUCUCUGUACCUUUGCUGGGUCCUUUUAAAUAAAGCAGGACAAAACAGAAAGGGACUUCACAUAGUUUAUGAAGAAAAGUUCAAAAAAAAAAAAAAAGUGAAAA